GACAUGUCCGGAAUCCCGAAGAGAUUUGGGAGUGCUCGCAAGAGAGCCGGAACACAGGUGCUGCAUGGCUGUCGUCAGCUCGUGUCGUGAGAUGUUGGGUUAAGUCCCGCAACGAGCGCAACCCUUGUCAUUAGUUGCCAUCAUUUGUUGGGCACUCUAAUGAGACUGCCGGUGACAAACCGGAGAAGGUGGGGAUGACGUCAAGUCCUCAUGGCCCUUAUGGGUAGGGCUUCACACGUCAUACAAUGGUCGGUACAGAGGGCUGCGAUACCGCGAGGUGGAGCGAAUCCCAGAAAGCCGGUCUCAGUUCGGAUUGGGGUCUGCAACUCGACCCCAUGAAGUCGGAGUCGCUAGUAAUCGCAGAUCAGCAACGCUGCGGUGAAUACGUUCCCGGGCCUU
rnacentral:rRNA from 1 species